rnacentral:lncRNA from 1 species
UCUCCUUCUUAAAGGAAAAGAUUGGGUGUGACCACUUCUGUUACCAUUUGAUGGGAACCUGGGAGGUAACUUCCACAUAGAACACUAAGAUUGAGAGAGAAGAACAAAUAUUGGAGCCAAGCAAGGCCCUCCUGGAGCUCCUCAGGUCAAGACCUGGAGGUGCAUUGCCCUGCGUGUGCCCUUCAAGAGCUGCUGUCCCCUAGCUGGAGAUCAAACACUACCUUCCCCAUGUGGAGAACUGGGAGAAACCAACGCAUGAGGGUGCCUUAUCAAACUGUGUUUGAUAAUGAAGGCUUCAAAAAGAUAGGCAGCAGAUUUCCCUGCAGGCGGGGAGUUUCUCAGUUUCAGGACCCCAUGCCACUUACAAACAAGUUUGAUUUUGUCUUGGAGACCAAACACGACACUCUGCCCUGUAACAAAGGACCAAUCUUUGAGGAGUUGCAACUGAAAUUUCAGAGAUGGCAGUGGCUGAUCUGUGGGGAAUCUUCCACAGCGGUGUUUCCGCACCCUGUUGUUGUCUCUUGGUGUCCUCUGGUUGGUAUUGGUGCCAAUGGGGCCUCAUCUGGUACAUGGACUGGGAGAGCCCUGGGCUCCAGAGGAAUAACACUGGCUACUAGCCAUGUGCAAAUAUGCUGGGUCAGUGAUCUGUUCUUUGUGAGCCAAAAGUAAGCAAGAAUGUCACUUCUGUUCCUUUAUGAGCUGCUUUAAAGGUGAAGGAUAUUUUCUUUCCAAUGUUUCCAUGUAUUAAAUUGGGAAAGUUGUCAGAAUUAAACACGCUGCAGUGGGUAGAUGCUUUGUUUGUAGCCAAAUGGGUUUCCAUAAAGUGUUGAAUUAAUGAAAUGAAAUAGUGAGG